UACGGAGGGUGCAAGCGUUAUCCGGAUUCACUGGGUUUAAAGGGUGCGUAGGUGGGUUGGUAAGUCAGUGGUGAAAUCCCCGAGCUUAACUUGGGAACUGCCAUUGAUACUAUCAGUCUUGAAUACCGUGGAGGUCAGCGGAAUAUGUCAUGUAGCGGUGAAAUGCUUAGAUAUGACAUAGAAUACCUAUUGCGAAGGCAGCUUACUACGCAGAUAUUGACGCUCAUGCACGAAAGCGUGGGGAUCAAACAGG
rnacentral:rRNA from 1 species